rnacentral:lncRNA from 1 species
GUGUGGGUGACACGGAAGCCACCUGUGUCUGGGCCGCCUCAGGUGCUGGGCAAAGGCAGCUGUGGGCAGGAUGGGAUUCCAUCCUGAGGGUCUCUCAGGGCAGUGAGAAACCCACAACCUUGCUGCCUCCUCCUGGGCACUGCUUGUGGGGCCCUGGGGGUCUUGGUGCUGGGGGGCUGAGCCGGAGCAACUCUCAGUGUCACACUCAGCUCUGAUGGCCUGUCGGGGACAGAGUUGUCCAAGAGGAGGGACAGAAAGAAGUCACUACCUGGGUCACUGAGCUGCUCAGGCUGGGCUCCAACUUGCCAUCAUCCUGCUCAGCCUCCCAGAGUGCUGGGAUCACAGGCGUGCCCUGCCACACUCUGCUGGGGAAGGCCUUUUCUUAAGCAUAGGGCUAGUUUUUUGGUUCCUUGUACUCACUUAAUCAUUACCAUCUGUGCAAACAAAAAAGUUGUACAUAUAAUUGUUUAUGGUGUGUUUAGAAGGGCGGUGGAGUUUAGUAAACACUAAGGACAGCCGCGAAUAUUUCACUGUGGCCUUCGACCCUAGUGGUGCAGCCGGCACUUGGCACUGUUUGUCACAGUGAAUUAGAUGACUUCAGUGAAUUCUGCAACGAGUGUCUUGCGGUGUAAGCCUUGGGCCUCCAUCCCCGGCAGUUUUCAGACCCCACAGGCGCUGCUCCUGGACCCUGCAGAGCUGUGGGUGAGGCCCAGGUGCUGGCUUGGGACAGCACACGUUUGGAAGGUUCUGGAAGUUUCUGGACAGCCUCCUAGGCGCGACCUCCCAGGGCUUCUUCCGCUGCCCUGACACUGCACGAUGAUCGCCUGGACCAGGAGACCCACAGCGACUGCAGGGGUCAGCUGUUCGAGGCCGUGUGAGGACCGAUAGCCUGCACCUUCUGCCAUCUAGGAAACCAUGAGGGCCGCUGGGCUAUGAGCCAGAAACCCUAAAUGGACCCAAAGGGAGUGAUAUGGUUUCUCACCUCCCAGGGCGCACGGGCUUGGACCAGCCUGCUGCAGGCCGGGCGAAAUGUGGAGGCUGAGUCAGGAGAAGCCGGUCGGCUGCCUCGAGCUGUCAACUUGCUGUUCUCUGGCCUCUGGCCUCCAGCUGGAAGGUCGACCUUCUGGGCUGCAGCCUGCACGGCCCCAUGGCCUCGCGUGGAGGUGGCAGGGGAAGCUCCCAGCCCCGCCUGGGCCAUUCAGUGUCAUCGGCCCGCAGGACCCGGGUUGGCCCUGCUCUGGACUUCAGAUUCAAUGCAAAUGUCAAUGAAGGAAAAUAAAAUUACCCUAAUCCCAUCAUUUGGAAAUGGGGCGGAUAGCAUCACACUGGGAUCAUGACAUUUUCACACUGCUGAUUUCCCAGCCCGCAAUCUCGAAGAGCCAGCGAAUAUGGUCAUGAUUACUUCUAGUAGGGAAUGAGGUAAAAUCCUCUUACUGUUCUCUUUUGAGUCCAGGUGUAACUUUGCACAUCAAGCCUUCAGGUGCCAGCAUCAAGCGAGAGUUUAUUAACACAACCCAGGAUCACCUUCAUCAUCAUACCCAAGACAAUGUGCAAUCGAAACAUUAUGAACAAUCAUAUGAAUAUUGAUCCAUAAACUGAACAAACGGUUGCAGAUCAAACCCGGCCUCCGUGUGAGGAGCUCCGUCUGGUUUCCAGUGUGGUUGGUUCCUCCUCUAAUUGCGGCAGAGCUGCAUGGGCCCCGGCUUC